GGAUGUAUUACUGUUGCCCCCAGUACCAGGAAUCAGCUAAAUAUAGCUAUUUCAUUUAACCUAUUUUUCAAAAUUUAGAACAAUUAUUUAAAUGUCAUCUACAAUAGAGUAUGUGUGUCAAAAAUAUGUUUUAACUUAUUGUUUACAUGUUUAACUUAUUGUAAACAUGACAAAUCAAUAUCAAUUGUUCGUGUUGAUGAUGUCAUUGGCUGGACUCAAGAGCAGUUUGAGAAACUCAAAAUUUGUAGAAGAGUAAAACUUAUGGUGAACAAUGAUGAUAGUAUGAAUAAGGUAUUAGUUUUGCAAUGCGCAACAAGUUAUGAAGGACUCAAAGAUACUUUAAGGUUUGUUUUUGAAAUGAAAAGAAAAAAACAAACAAUAGGUUUCAUACAAACUCAUUUCAAUCCAGUCCGUGACCUAAACAGACAAAGACUGCCCCCAGUUUAUCCUCUUCACACAUCUUCUGAAGGUUCAAAUUUUGAUACAGAUCCUUCUGAUUCUAUCGCACCACAUAAUCAGGAUACUGCUGCUAAAGCAGUUGCGUUAAAGCCUCUGCCACCACUUAAAACUCAAAAGUUUCCUGUUUCAUACAAGGCAUUACUUAAUAUGGCUACUGAAGCAGUUGCUUUAAAGCCUCUGCCACCACUUAAAACUCAAAAAUCUCCUGUUUCAUACAAGGUACUGCAUAAUCAAGAUAUGGCUACUGACGCAGUUGCUUUAAAGCCUCUGACAUCACUUAAAUCUCAAAAACUUCCUGGUUUACAUAAGGUUCCAAGCGUACAACUACCUUUAUCUACCCAACCAAAUGUUUCAAAUGUUACACGAACAGAUAUUCAGUCAAUUUCAAGUCCCCAUGAUUUCACUGACACAAGUUUAUUGCGGAUGCACGAUAGUAUGCUAGAUGUUUGUAGCCGUCUUAAUGUUGAACCAUUUAGUGCACAAGGACAGUUUCUUAUGAAUGCAUACAUUCUACGUGAAUUGACAUCAAUUCCGUAUAAGUUAAAUAAUCUGGAACAAAGACAGGGAGGAUUAGAGGCACGUGUUUGCAGUGUUCCUAUUGAUAAAAAUACCUCAAAUAUCCAAUUUCCUGUUUUUACCUCUCCGAUGCAAUAUUCUGAAGUUGCUAAGCACCCAAAGGAUAUGUUGUCAUGGAUGAAGUUUGAAGGAGGGAUGAUUGUCAAUGACCAUAUUUCUCGCGUCUUAAAUAAAUUGCUGACGCAUGACUUGCAACGUAAUAUAAACAGGACCGGAAGUCAUGGCAAGCUCAAGUUUUUUGAUAACCUGGAAAAUCUGCUCAAAACGUCAACUAUUCAUUUUUUCCCCGGUACCACGACAAAAGAAAUUGAAUUAAAAGUAGCUCGAUUUUUUAACAACGCCAGAGAUCGCUCUGGUGCUCGAAUGCAGAGAAGUUUAAAAAAGACCGAUGUUUCAAUCGAGGAAGACAAAGAUGACGUUAGUAACGAGGGUAGUGAAGAGGGCAGUGAUAACGAGACACAACAAAAAAAACGAAAAACUUUUAAAUAAAUAUUAGUAUUGUGUUUCAAGUUAAUCUUUAUAUGGAUACAUUUAUUGUAAGUUUUAAUACCUAAAAAUAAAUAAUAUGAAUAAAUAACUAUAAAAAUUCA